UAAAGUUGUUGCGGUUAAAAAGCUCGUAGUCGGAGGUGUGUCUCGGACGGUCGGUUCGCCGCUUGUCGGUGCUCAACUGGCCGGUCCGGACGUCCUGCCGGUGGGGCCGCGAGGCUCCGUCAUCCUUCUUUGGUCCUCUUCACCGAGUGCCUUGGUGGGCCGGCACGUUUACUUUGAACAAAUUAGAGUGCUCAAAGCAGGCCGUUGGUCGCCUGAAUACUGUGUGCAUGGAAUAAUGGAAUAGGACCUCGGUUCCAUUUUGUUGGUUUUCAGAACUCGAGGUAAUGAUUAAUAGGGACGGACGGGGGCAUUCGUAUUGCGACGUUAGAGGUGAAAUUCUUGGAUCGUCGCAAGACGAACCGAUGCCAAAGCAUUUGCCAAGAACGUUUUCGUUGAUCAAGAACGAAAGUUAGAGGUUCGAAGGCGAUCAGAUACCGCCCUAGUUCUAACCAUAAACGAUGCCAGCUAGCCAUCCGCCGAAGUUCCUUCUAUGACUCGGCGGGCAGCUUCCGGGAAACCAAAGCUCUUGGGUUCCGGGGGAAGUAUGGUUGCAAAGCU
rnacentral:rRNA from 1 species